UACGGAGGGAGCUAGCGUUGUUCGGAAUUACUGGGCGUAAAGCGCACGUAGGCGGCUUGUUAAGUCAGGGGUGAAAUCCUGGAGCUCAACUCCAGAACUGCCUUUGAUACUGAGGGUCUUGAGUCCGGGAGAGGUGAGUGGAACUGCGAGUGUAGAGGUGAAAUUCGUAGAUAUUCGCAAGAACACCAGUGGCGAAGGCGGCUCACUGGCCCGGUACUGACGCUGAGGCACGAAAGCGUGGGGAGCAAACAGG
rnacentral:rRNA from 1 species